rnacentral:misc_RNA from 1 species
AAGACUAUAGACCUGCGGAGUACCUGCGGAGGGAUCAUUACCGAGCUCGUGCCCUUCGGGGCAGAUCUCCCACCCGAUGUCAUGACUACGAUGUUGCUUUGGCGGGCCGCCGGGCCCUGCCCGCCAGAGGUCUCCUAGACUCUGAAUAUUAGUGUCGUCCGAGUAUCACAGAAUAGUCAAAACUUUCAGCAACGGAUCUCU